rnacentral:rRNA from 12 species
GCGUUGUAAUCUCGAGACGUGUUUUCCGUGCGGCUCUAUGGACAAGUCCCUUGGAACAGGGCAUCGUAGAGGGUGAAAAUCCCGUACUUGCCAUGGAAGUACCGUGCUUUGUGAUACACGCUCCAAGAGUCGAGUAGUUUGGGAUUGCUGCUCAAAGUGGGUGGUAGACUCCAUCUAAAGCUAAAUAUCGGGGAGAGACCGAUAGCGAACAAGUACCGUGAGGGAAAGAUGAAAA